rnacentral:lncRNA from 1 species
AAAUAAAAUGUUGUUUUAGCUAGUAAAUUUAGGGUGUUUUGUUUAAAUUAUGGGAGCCCCAGAUAUUUGGAUGAAUUUACAUUCAUAUAGUAGGGAAGUUUUUAUUUAUUUAUUUAUUUAUUUGNNNNNNNNNNUUUUUGAUCUGAAUUGAAAAUAUGUCAGCUUUUUUUUAACAUCAUCAACAGACUUCUUAAUUAAGCUGCCAAUACAUACUGCCAAUAGCACUGUGUGCUGUCUGAGAAAUGCAUUGUGUAAGUGCUAUAAAACCCAGCAAAUCACAGUUGUUUUGAGAAUGGAGGAAGGGCAGAGCAAUUGGGAGAAAGCAAAGUUGGAAACAAACCAAUUUGAGUCAAACCA